rnacentral:rRNA from 1 species
AGAACGAACGCUGGCGGCAUGCCUAACACAUGCAAGUCGAACGAUGCUUUCGGGCAUAGUGGCGCACGGGUGCGUAACGCGUGGGAAUCUGCCCCUUGGUUCGGAAUAACAGUUAGAAAUGACUGCUAAUACCGGAUGACGACGUAAGUCCAAAGAUUUAUCGCCGAGGGAUGAGCCCGCGUAGGAUUAGCUAGUUGGUGUGGUAAAGGCGCACCAAGGCGACGAUCCUUAGCUGGUCUGAGAGGGAUGAUCAGCCACACUGGGACUGAGACACGGACCAGACUCCUACGGGAGGCAGCAGUGGGGAAUAUUGGACAAUGGGCGCAAGCCUGAUCCAACAAUGCCGCGUGAGUGAUGAAGGCCUUAGGGUUGUAAGCUUUUUACCCGAGAUGGUUAUGUCAGUUACCGUAGAAUAGCCCCGGUUUACUUCGUGCAUCAGUCUGUGGUAAUCCAGAGGACACAAAAAAUUAAAUUACUAGCG